rnacentral:rRNA from 1 species
CCUACGGGAGGCAGCAGUCGAGAAUCAUUCACAAUGUGGGAAACCCUGAUGGUGCGACGCCGCGUGGGGGAAUGAAGGUCUUCGGAUUGUAAACCCCUGUCAUGUGGGAGCAAAUUAAAAAGAUAGUACCACAAGAGGAAGAGACGGCUAACUCUGUGCCAGCAGCCGCGGUAAGACAGAGGUCUCAAGCGUUGUUCGGAAUCACUGGGCGUAAAGCGUGCGUAGGCUGUUUCGUAAGUCGUGUGUGAAAGGCGCGGGCUCAACCCGCGGACGGCACAUGAUACUGCGAGACUAGAGUAAUGGAGGGGGAACCGGAAUUCUCGGUGUAGCAGUGAAAUGCGUAGAUAUCGAGAGGAACACUCGUGGCGAAGGCGGGUUCCUGGACAUUAACUGACGCUGAGGCACGAAGGCCAGGGGAGCGAAAGGGAUUAGAUACCCCUGUAGUC